UUACAAAAAGUCGGAGCCUCGUAAGGGGUGACGGCGUACCUUUUGUAUAAUGGGUCAGCGACUUAUAUUCAGUGGCGAGCUUAACCGAAUAGGGGAGGCGUAGCGAAAGCGAGUCUUAAUAGGGCGCUUUAGUCGCUGGGUAUAGACCCGAAACCGGGCGAUCUAUCCAUGGGCAGGUUGAAGGUUAGGUAACACUGACUGGAGGACCGAACCCA
rnacentral:rRNA from 1 species